GUGUUACCAAAGUAGAUCGCCUUUUUUUGCAACGCAAUUCUGUGCGGGAUUAAUCGCAUAGCAAAGUAGAUCGUAUUUAAACCAUGACUAUUUAUUAAGCGUCAGUCGAUUGACAUAAAUUGUUCGAUAUAAAUUGAGAGUGAAACGCAUUUAAAGUGAAAUUCGCGAGCAGAAACAAUUUUUUAACGGAAAAUUUACCAUGAACCAAAUACUAUUGCCUCUUAUGCUAACCAUCGUACUCUUAACAAAAGAAGGGGUGGCUAUAAAAUGUUAUGUGUGUUCAUCGGCUGAUGACGAAAGAUGUGAUGAUAAUAACUUCACCGGAGCAGCGGCUUUUAAGUUCGAUUGUUCAAUUGGUCAAAACCGAACAUUUCCAAUCUUACAUUGCAAAAAGGCCAGAUAUUUGAGGAAUAAUACUGUUGUACGAAGCUGUAACAAAAGUGAUAGCUUGAUGGCAACAAAAGACAUUGAAACUUUUCUAUGCCAUGCAGAUCUAUGUAAUUCCGGUGUGAAAUACAGUUCACGUAUUUCAACCAUUUUACAAUCCAUCUUUAUCCACAUAUUUGUUAAAAUCAUUUACCUCGUCUUUGUAAAGGGGGAUUUAUGACAAAAUUGUAGAAUAUAGACUAGUAAAAAUAUCAAUUAUAGAAUUUAAGCGGAAGUUCGAGUAUAGAAAAUAACAUAAAUUCAUUUACAAAAAUCAAAUGCAGAAUAAAUUGAAAUAUUAU